rnacentral:rRNA from 1 species
AACGAACGCUGGCGGCGUGGAUAAGACAUGCAAGUCGAACGCUUGUUAUGGGGUAGCAAUAUUCUAUGGCAGGAGUGGCGGAAGGGUGCGUAACAUGUGGGUAAUCUGCCGUGAAGACUGGGAUAACUUCUGAAAGGCGAGCUAAUACCGGAUGAGAUAACCAGGAGGCAGCUUUUGGUUAUCAAAGUUGGGGACUGUAAAAGGCCUAACGCUUCAUGAUGAGCCCGCAACCUAUCAGCUAGUUGGUGAGGUAAAGGCUCACCAAGGCUAAGACGGGUAGCUGGUCUGAGAGGACGACCAGCCACACUGGAACUGAGAGACGGUCCAGACACCGUACGGGUGGCAGCAGUCGAGUAAUUUUUCACAA